UACGUAGGGUGCAAGCGUUGUCCGGAAUUAUUGGGCGUAAAGAGCUCGUAGGCGGCUUGUCGCGUCGUUCGUGAAAACCUGCAGCUCAACUGCAGGCUUGCGGUCGAUACGGGCAGGCUAGAGUUCGGUAGGGGAGACUGGAAUUCCUGGUGUAGUGGUGAAAUGCGUAGAUAUCGGGAGGAAUACCAGUGGCGAAGGCGGCUUCCUGGCCUGUUCUUGACGCUGAGGCGCGAAAGCUAGGGUAGCAAACGGG
rnacentral:rRNA from 1 species